AUUGAACGCUGGCGGCAGGCUUAACACAUGCAAGUCGAACGAGCGGCGGACGGGUGAGUAAUGUCUGGGAAACUGCCUGAUGGAGGGGGAUAACUACUGGAAACGGUAGCUAAUACCGCAUACCAUCAGAUGGGCCCAGAUGGGUUUAGCUAGUUGGUUGGGUAAUGGCUCAUCAAGGCGACGAUCCCUAGCUGGUCUGAGAGGACGACCAGCCACACUGGAACUGAGACACGGUCCAGACUCCUACGGGAGGCAGCAGUGGGGAAUAUUGCACAAUGGGCGCAAGCCUGAUGCAGCCAUGCCGCGUGUGUGAAGAAGGCCUUCGGGUUGUAAAGCACUUUCAGCGGGGAGGCGUUACCCGCAGAAGAAGCACCGGCUAACUCCGUGCCAGCAGCCGCGGUAAUAC
rnacentral:rRNA from 1 species